GACCCCGCACAAGCGGCGGAGCAUGCGGCUUAAUUCGAUGAUACCCGUAGAACCUUACCAGGGUUUGAAAUCAUUUCAAAACUCCUUGAAAGAGGAGCCUCCUUCGGGAUGAAAUGACAGGUGGUGCAUGGCUGUCGUCAGCUCGUGUUGUGAAAUGUCGAGUUAAGUCUCGUAACGAGCGCAACCCAUGUCUCUUGUUGCUCACUGAGUGUUUAAGAGAGACUGCCGACCAACAUCGGAGGAAGGUGUGGAUGAUGUCAAGUCAGCAUGCCCCUUACAUCCUGGGCUACACACGUACUACAAUGGUAAGGACAAUGAGCUGCGAUCCUGCGAAGGCUAGCCAAUCUCAAAAACCUUAUCUCAGUUCGGAUUGCACUCUGCAACUCGAGUGCAUGAAGGUGGAAUCGCUAGUAA
rnacentral:rRNA from 1 species